rnacentral:rRNA from 1 species
UGAGGAAUAUUGGUCAAUGGACGGAAGUCUGAACCAGCCAAGUAGCGUGCAGGAUGACGGCCCUAUGGGUUGUAAACUGCUUUUGUAUGGGGAUAAAGUUAGGGACGUGUCCCUAUUUGCAGGUACCAUACGAAUAAGGACCGGCUAAUUCCGUGCCAGCAGCCGCGGUAAUACGGAAGGUCCAGGCGUUAUCCGGAUUUAUUGGGUUUAAAGGGAGCGUAGGCUGGAGAUUAAGUGUGUUGUGAAAUGUAGACGCUCAACGUCUGAAUUGCAGCGCAUACUGGUUUCCUUGAGUACGCACAACGUUGGCGGAAUUCGUCGUGUAGCGGUGAAAUGCUUAGAUAUGACGAAGAACUCCGAUUGCGAAGGCAGCUGACGGGAGCGCAACUGACGCUUAAGCUCGAAGGUGCGGGUAUCAAACAGGAUUAGAUACCCUGGUAGUCCGCACAGUAACGAUGGAUGCCCGCUGUUGGUACCUGGUACCAGCGGCUAAGCGAAAGCAUUAAGCAUCCCACCUGGGGAGUACGCCGGCNCGGU